rnacentral:sRNA from 1 species
AUAUGUCUGUCGGACCCUGUAUAGGGGGGU